GGAAGGAUCAUUAUCGUAUUCAAACCGUGUGAGGAGGUUCACGCAAUGGCUGUCGCUGGCUCUCACGGAGUUGUGCACGCCGGAGUGGGUCCUUCUGGCACGAAAAUCCAUCUCACCCUUUUGUGCACCACCGCGUGGGCUCCCUUAGGGGUGCUCGCGUUUUUCCACACAAACCCCUUUAUAAAAGUGUAGAAUGACCUCAUUUCUUGCGAUGACACGCAAUAAAUACAACUUUCAACAACGGAUCUCUUGGCUCUCGCAUCGAUGAAGAACGCAGCGAAAUGCGAUACGUAAUGUGAAUUGCAGAAUUCAGUGAAUCAUCGAAUCUUUGAACGCACCUUGCGCCCCUUGGCAUUCCGAGGGGCACACCCGUUUGAGUGUCGUGAAAAUCUCAACCUUUGUGGUCUUUUUUUCCACAAAGGCUUGGACCUUGGAGGCCUUUUGCUGAAGUCCCCACGGGAAGUCAGCUCCUCUCAAAUGAAUUAGCGAGGUCCUCUUUGCCAAUCCUCGAUGUGUGAUAAGAUGUUUCCACGUCUUGGGCUUCUGGCUCGGUUGGGACCUGCUUCUAAUCGUCUCGUUGAGACAAUGUCGAGGGAGAGUGCCUUUGGAUGCUCGCCCGCACGACGAAACCCCCCUUGACCUCAAAUCGGGUGAGACUACCCGCUGAACUUAAGCAUAUCAAUAAGCGGAGGAAAAGAAACUAACAAGGAUUCCCCUAGUAACUGCGAGUGAAGCGGGAAGAGCUCAAAUUUAAAAUCUGUCGGUCUUUGGCCGUCCGAGUUGUAAUUUAGAGAAGCGUCUUCCGCGCCGGACCGUGCACAAGUCUCCUGGAAUGGAGCGUCAUAGAGGGUGAGAAUCCCGUCUUUGGCACGGAUGCCCGGUGCUUCUGUGAUGCGCUCUCGAAGAGUCGAGUUGUUUGGGAAUGCAGCUCCAAAUGGGUGGUGAACUCCAUCUAAAGCUAAAUAUUGGCGAGAGACCGAUAGCGAACAAGUACCGUGAGGGAAAGAUGAAAAGCACUUUGGAAAGAGAGUGAAACAGUACGUGAAAUUGUUGAAAGGGAAACGCUUGAAGUCAGUCGCGUCGACCGAGACUCAGCCUCGCCUUGGCUUGGUGUACUUCUCGGCACGACGGGCCAGCAUCAAUUUUGCCCCUCGGAUAAUGGCAAGGGAAAGGUGGCACCUUUGCGGGUGUGUUAUAGUCUCCUGUCGCAUGCGAGAGGUGGGAUUGAGGAACUCAGCACGCGCCUCUGGUGUCGGGGCUUCUGCCCACGAAACGUGCUUAGGAUGUUGGCGUAAUGGCUUUAAACGACCCGUCUUGAAACACGGACCAAGGAGUCCAACAUGCCCGCGAGUGUUCGGGUGGAAAACCCGUGCGCGUAAUGAAAGUGAAAGUUGGGACCUCUGUCGUGGAGGGCACCGACGCCCGGACCAGACCUUCUGUGACGGAUCUGCGGUAGAGCGUGCAUGUUGGGACCCGAAAGAUGGUGAACUAUGCCUGAAUAGGGUGAAGCCAGAGGAAACUCUGGUGGAGGCUCGUAGCGAUUCUGACGUGCAAAUCGAUCGUCAAAUUUGGGUAUAGGGGCGAAAGACUAAUCGAACCAUCUAGUAGCUGGUUCCUGC
rnacentral:misc_RNA from 1 species